rnacentral:rRNA from 1 species
AACGAACGCUGGCGGCAGGCUUAACACAUGCAAGUCGAGCGCCCCGCAAGGGGAGCGGCAGACGGGUGAGUAACGCGUGGGAAUCUACCCAUCUCUACGGAAUAACGCAUGGAAACGUGUGCUAAUACCGUAUACGUCCUUCGGGAGAAAGAUUUGUCGGAGAUGGAUGAGCCCGCGUUGGAUUAGCUAGUUGGUGGGGUAAAGGCCUACCAAGGCGACGAUCCAUAGCUGGUCUGAGAGGAUGAUCAGCCACACUGGGACUGAGACACGGCCCAGGCUCCCACGGGAGGCAGCAGUGGGGAAUAUUGGACAAUGGGCGCAAGCCUGAUCCAGCCAUGCCGCGUGAGUGAUGAAGGCCCUAGGGUUGUAAAGCUCUUUCACCGGUGAAGAUAAUGACGGUAACCGGAGAAGAAGCCCCGGCUAACUUCGUGCCAGCCGCCGCGGUAAUAC